AUUAAACUGCCGCGUGACGGGCGUGCAGACGGGGAGCAGGUCUGAAGGCAGAGAGCACGCCCGGCCCUUCUUGCCCGACUGGCACAGAGGCUGAGGGAAGCUCCUGGUUCACGCGAGGUUCACAUCUACUGUGGGAUUUUGGCCAGUAUCUCAGGAGGUCCCGUUAAAUCCCAACGUAGGUAGCAGGCAGUGAGGCACCCCAGGGAAAUCAGCUGUUUCUAUCCCACGGGAAAAUAAAUAGCAUUAACAGAGGAAAACACCAAGCACAAGCCUGAUUUUAAAAUGUAUUCUGACGGGGGAAUUCAGUAACAGGAACUAUGAGGGACAAGCCUUUUCAUAGGUGAGAUGUGGAUUCUUAAAUAACAAGAUCAUAACCGGAUUUUUAUAUUUGUAUUUCAAAGGAAUGGAAGCUCUCAGAUACGGACUCGUGUCCAAGCACAAAUGCUUGUCAACAUCUCUGUGAAGUCUUGUGGGAAAUGUGACCCGUGCAGGAGAGCAGUCCUCCCGUGAUGGGGACGAGCCGGCCACCCUGGACACACUGGGCCGGGAACGCAGGUUCACGCCCCCAGUGGCAGGCCGCGUCUGUGAGAGGGCGCGGGAGGACUGUGCAGCCCAGGUGGCGGGCACGCUCUGUUCACCGGGUCUGGGGCUGUCCCGUGUGGCCAGGACAAAUGGCAAAAGCAGCUUGGGGUCUGCUUUGAUUUGAACCCUACUGAGAUAUGCUGCUGUGGAGUCUAUAGUGUGCUUUGGAAAGCCUCCUCUCAGCCGCUGCCAAUGGCUCUGCAGGUCCGCCGGGUGAACUGUUUCUCUGGCCCAGCAAAGUAAUGACAACCACCAAAAAAUAACUGUGGUGACAGAUCUCUGCUUGUGUCGCGUGGUAGAAAGUGUCCUUUACAGACCGAAGGUUGGGCAGGCACAUGGCUGGGGUGGAACCGU
rnacentral:lncRNA from 1 species